rnacentral:rRNA from 1 species
GGAAACGUAUGCUAAUACCGAAUAUGCUCUACGGAGUAAAGGAGCCCUCUUCUUGAAAGGUUUCGCUAUAGGAUGAGCCCGCGUGAGAUUAGCUAGUUGGUAAGGUAAUGGCUUACCAAGGCAACGAUCUCUAGCUGGUUUGAGAGGAUGAUCAGCCACACUGGGACUGAGACACGGCCCAGACUCCUACGGGAGGCAGCAGUGGGGAAUAUUGCACAAUGAGCGAAAGCUUGAUGCAGCCAUACCGCGUGUGUGAAGAAGGCCCGAGGGUUGUAAAGCACUUUCAAUUGUGAGGAAGAUAGUGUCGCUAAUAUCGGCAUUGUUUGACGUUAACUUUAGAAGAAGCACCGGCUAACUCUGUGCCAGCAGCCGCGGUAAUACAGAGGGUGCAAGCGUUAUUCGGAAUUACUGGGCGUAAAGCGCGCGUAGGCGGGCUAUUAAGUCAGUUGUGAAAGCCCUGGGCUCAACCUGGGAACUGCAUCUGAUACUGGUAGUCUAGAGUUUAAGAGAGGGAAGUGGAAUUCCAGGUGUAGCAGUGAAAUGCGUAGAUAUCUGGAGGAACAUCAGUGGCGAAGGCGACUUCCUGGCUUAAAACUGACGCUGAGGUGCGAAAGCGUGGGUAGCGAACGGGAUUAGAUACCCCGGUAGU